rnacentral:lncRNA from 1 species
AAAAAAAAGGGAUUGCAAAUGAAAACAGUUUAAGAAAUCUUUAUUUAACAUUUGAUUCUCCUUUCUCAUUUGUUCUAUUUUUUAUUCUUGCUCUGGAAGUUACUCUUGUAUCUUUAACAAACCACAUCUCCUCCUUGUCUCCUAUCCAGAAAGAAAUCCUCCUUCUUCCCUUAGAAGUUCUGAUGCUGGGGAAACCUGAGUGUUCUUUGGAAAUGUUUAAGCUCACCAGCCAAGUUGGAGCAUGCAGAAUGGAAGAAGCAAUAAAGUGACAUGAGCAAGGAGCAGUUUUCUUCUCAUCUUUCCAAACUCAAAUGUGGAUCUAAAUUUUAUAUGGAAAGCUAAACUUAUCCCUGAAGAUUAAAGUAAGUAAACUAUGAUCAAAUUUUUGAAAAUUUCUCUAAUGUAAUGGGGAUCUUACAUCAUUCACCAAAAAAAGAAAGAUAAAGAAAAUAACCCAUUAAAAUGUUGAGAUAUAUUCUUAGUAUUCCUUAGUAUCUAUAUUUCUUCUAAAUUUUUUACUUAGUUAAUUUCAAUGGAGCUGAGUUUCAUCAUUCAUUCAUGAAGUUAAAUAAUUGGGAAGAAGUUUUAAGUACUUUUAUUUAUUUAUUUAUUUAUUUUUUAUCUUAACCAUGUUUUAUUUUUAAUUUUUUUAUAUAAUUUUUUUAUUUUCCCACUGUACAGCAAGGGGGUCAAGUUAUCCUUACAUGUAUACAUUACAAUUACAUUUUUCCCCCACCCUUUGUUCUGUUGCAACAUGAGUAUCUAGACAAAGUUCUCAAUGCUAUUCAGCAGGAUCUCCUUGUAAAUCUAUUCUAAGUUGUGUCUGAUAAGCCCAAGCUCCCGAUCCCUCCCACUCCCUCCCCCUCCCAUCAGGCAGCCACAAGUCUCUUCUCCAAGUCCAUGAUUUUCUUUUCUGAGGAGAUGUUCAUUUGUGCUGGAUAUUAGAUUCCAAUUAUAAGGGAUAUCAUAUGGUAUUUGUCUUUGUCUUUCUGGCUCAUUUCACUCAGUAUGAGAUUCUCUAGUUCCAUCCAUGUUGCUGCAAAUGGCAUUAUGCCAUUCUUUUUUAUGGCUGAGUAGUAUUCCAUUGUGAAUAUAUACCACAUCUUCCGAAUCCAAUCAUCUGUGGAUGGACAUUUGGGUUGUUUCCAUGUCCUGGCUCUUGUGAAUAGUGCUGCAAUGAACAUGCGGGUGCAUGUGUCUCUUUUCA